AAGUCGUAACAAGGUUUCCGUAGGUGAACCUGCGGAAGGAUCAUUAGUGAUUUGACCUCCGGGUCUAUAUUACAAUCCACAUACCUCUGUGAACCGUUUGACCUUCGGGUCUACAUACAAACAUCAGUGUAAUGAACGUCAAAUUAUAUAACAUAAUAAAACUUUUAACAACGGAUCUCUUGGCUCUC
rnacentral:misc_RNA from 1 species